GUCUUCUGUGGACCAAGUCCACCUGCACCAAGCCGUAUUUCCGCGCCUGACCGUCACGCGCGGUUAUCUAACUGCAUCUGGUCAUCUGGUAUGCGGAGAUAUAGAUGCACAUGGGAGGCCACGUGAUACCUCCCCAACCCUAAAGCCCUUGUCUCUCCGCCCCCGAAUCAGUGGAGGUGAUUGAAGUUGCGAUGGGAGGCACCCGAUCGAUGUUCUUCUCCUUCUCAUCGUCAUCUCGCUCAUCGUUAUCCUUCUCCCCCAACUUGAUUCAGCCCCUCGGAUUUGAUUCACCUCCCCGAUUCGUAAAUUAGAUGGUGUUGAUACAUUGGGGUUUCGAAUAGGCGGCGGCGCAUUGUUUGGAAUGUCAUGUGCACGCUGAUAAGAUUUUUCUCCAUCUGAGAGGGCAGUUGUUUAUAAAGUUCGGAAGGGAAUUAGACAUGGAGUUGAUAGGAUCGAAGUGUACAUAUAUAUAUGCAGAUGCAUAUUGCAUAUUGCAACAUACUGGAGGGGGUUUCUUCAAGUCUAUGUCUUCAUGGUCCUGAGUUCAAAGAACAUUUGGCAAACUCGGAUUGGGAAAUUCCAGCUGUGUUUGAGGGAACGUUGAGAGUCAAUGGUUCUGGUAAUAUGAAUAUUACUCUUCAUCAAGCUUAUUAAGCAUAGAUGGCCACGUGUCGUGAAUCCAAUUGGUCUGUGAAGAACAGUUAGUUAGGACUAUUACAGUAUAAGUGACUAUUUCAUUAGUUUCUAACUUCUUAUGGUGUAAUUUUCUCAUCUGCUUCAAUUUCACUUUGUUUCUUCCAAGAACUUAAGAAACAUUGGAAUCUCACAUUGAAAAAAAGUUCUAUUAUGUUAAUAUUUAUAAGGAUUUACAACAAUA